rnacentral:rRNA from 1 species
CCUACGGGAGGCUGCAGUGGGGAAUAUUGGACAAUGGGGGGAACCCUGAUCCAGCCAUGCCGCGUGUGUGAAGAAGGCCCUCGGGUUGUAAAGCACUUUCAGUGAGGAAGAACGCCUGGUGGUUAAUACCCAUCAGGAAAGACAUCACUCACAGAAGAAGCACCGGCUAACUCCGUGCCAGCAGCCGCGGUAAUACGGAGGGUGCGAGUGUUAAUCGGAAUUACUGGGCGUAAAGCGCGCGUAGGUGGCUUGAUAAGCCGGUUGUGAAAGCCCCGGGCUCAACCUGGGAACGGCAUCCGGAACUGUCAAGCUAGAGUGCAGGAGAGGAAGGUAGAAUUCCCGGUGUAGCGGUGAAAUGCGUAGAGAUCGGGAGGAAUACCAGUGGCGAAGGCGGCCUUCUGGACUGACACUGACACUGAGGUGCGAAAGCGUGGGUAGCAAACAGGAUUAGAUACCCCGGUAGUC